rnacentral:rRNA from 1 species
UCGAGGAUCUUCGGCAAUGGGCGCAAGCCUGACCGAGCGACGCCGCGUGUGCGAUGAAGGCCUUCGGGUUGUAAAGCACUGUCGAGGGGGAGGAAGCUCCGCAAGGGGUUGACCUAUCCCUGGAGGAAGCACGGGCUAAGUUCGUGCCAGCAGCCGCGGUAAGACGAACCGUGCGAACGUUGUUCGGAAUCACUGGGCUUAAAGGGCGCGUAGGCGGUUUCUCAAGUCCGGGGUGAAAUCUUUCGGCUUAACCGGAAAAGUGCCUUGGAUACUGAGAAGCUGGAGGGAGGCAGGGGCAGCUGGAACUUCCAGUGGAGCGGUGAAAUGCGUUGAUAUUGGAAGGAACUCCGGUGGCGAAAGCGAGCUGCUGGUCCUCUUCUGACGCUGAGGCGCGAAAGCUAGGGGAGCAAACGGGAUUAGAUACCCGGGUAGUCC